rnacentral:sRNA from 1 species
UUAACUUCCCUGGAGACUGAAGUCCUCUAUUUAUCCUAAGAACUGCUAUGGGCUUUCCUUUCAAGCCAGAGCAGAAAGUACAAUUGCCAGUGGGAGAGGGUACGUUGGUCUCAAUGCCUUUUCAGUCCUGGGUCUUU